CAGUCGAACGAGAGAGAGGAAGCUUGCUUCCUCAAUCGAGUGGCGAACGGGUGAGCAACGCGUGAGGAACCUGCCUCAAAGAGGGGGACAACAGUUGGAAACGACUGCUAAUACCGCAUAAGCCCACAGCUCGGCAUCGAGCAGAGGGAGAAGGAGCAAUCCGCUUUGAGAUGGCCUCGCGUCCGAUUAGCUAGUUGGUGAGGUAACGGCCCACCAAGGCGACGAUCGGUAGCCGGACUGAGAGGUUGAACGGCCACAUUGGGACUGAGACACGGCCCAGACUCCUACGGGAGGCAGCAGUGGGGAAUAUUGCACAAUGGGGGAAACCCUGAUGCAGCGACGCCGCGUGGAGGAAGAAGGUCUUCGGAUUGUAAACUCCUGUUGUUGAGGAAGAUAAUGACGGUACUCAACAAGGAAGUGACGGCUAACUACGUGCCAGCAGCCGCGGUAAAACGUAGGUCACAAGCGUUGUCCGGAAUUACUGGGUGUAAAGGGAGCGCAGGCGGGAGAACAAGUUGGAAGUGAAAACCAUGGGCUCAACCCAUGAAUUGCUUUCAAAACUGUUUUUCUCGAGUAGUGCAGAGGUAGAUGGAAUUCCCGGUGUAGCGGUGGAAUGCGUAGAUAUCGGGAGGAACACCAGUGGCGAAGGCGGUCUACUGGGCACCAACUGACGCUGAGGCUCGAAAGCAUGGGUAGCAAACAGGAUUAGAUACCCUGGUAGUCCAUGCCGUAAACGAUGAUUACUAGGUGUUGGGGGAUUGACCCC
rnacentral:rRNA from 1 species